rnacentral:lncRNA from 1 species
UGCCUCUCUAUGCUUCAAGCUCCUGUCUUGGGUUCCUGCCUUGGCUUCCUUCAGUGAAGGACUGUAACUUUGUCACCUUGGCAAGAUUUGAACCAGCUUGCUGCCUGUGCCCUGGAAUACUUGCCACCUGACCCUACCUGCCCUUGGAGGUUGGAGAUGAGGUGGCCUGGCAUCAACGACACAGACUCGGGAGCAGCUCAGUGGGAACUGGGGUACUAUUGCCUCAACAUUGCUGACCCCACCUGAGAGCACUCCAGUAUACUGGACUGUGCCUUCCUCCUACACCAGGAGACACAGUCAUUGCCACCUUCCUGAGAGAGCUGCAUUCACCAUGGUGCCAGAGAGGUGGGGAGAGUAACUGCCAAACAGACACUCCUGUGUUUCAAUCCCAGAAGUGUGGCUGGGAAUCUGAAGAUCUUCAAGAAGUUAUUUAAAUUUUUUAAACCUUAAAUUGUAUAUGUGCAUGACAGUGCAGUGUCCACAGGGGCCAGAAGAGGGCGUCAGAUGCCCUAGAACUGGAAUCACAGAUGUUUGUUAGCUGCUCAACAUGAGUGCUAGAAACCAAACUCUGGUCCCGUGAAAGAGUA